rnacentral:rRNA from 1 species
AACGAACGCUGGCGGCAUGCCUAACACAUGCAAGUCGAACGAGACCUUCGGGUCUAGUGGCGCACGGGUGCGUAACGCGUGGGAACCUGCACUUAGGUUCGGAAUAACUCCCCGAAAGGGGUGCUAAUACCGGAUAAUGUCUUCGGACCAAAGAUUUAUCGCCUUUGGAUGGGCCCGCGUUGGAUUAGCUAGUUGGUAGGGUAAAAGCCUACCAAGGCGACUAUCCAUAGCUGGUCUGAGAGGAUGAUCAGCCACACUGGGACUGGGACACGGCCCAGACUCCUACGGGAGGCAGCAGUGGGGAAUAUUGGACAAUGGGCGAAAGCCUGAUCCAGCAAUGCCGCGUGAGUGAUGAAGGCCUUAGGGUUGUAAAGCUCUUUUACCCGGGAUGAUAAUGACAGUACCGGGAGAAUAAGCUCCGGCUAACUCCGUG